rnacentral:tRNA from 1 species
UCCAGGGUAGUCUAGUGGACAUGGCAUCUGCCCAGUAUGCGGAACACUGUGGGUUAGAUUCCCAUCCCUGGAC